UACGUAGGGGGCUAGCGUUAUCCGGAAUUACUGGGCGUAAAGGGUGCGUAGGCGGUCUUUCAAGCCAGAAGUGAAAGGCUACGGCUCAACCGUAGUAAGCUUUUGGAACUGUAAGACUUGAGUUCAGGAGAGGAGAGUGGAAUUCCUAGUGUAGCGGUGAAAUGCGUAGAUAUUAGGAGGAACACCAGUGGCGAAGGCGGCUUACUGGGCCGUAACUGACGCUGAGGCACGAAAGCGUGGGUAGCAAACAGGAUUAGAUACCCCCCGUAGUCCCUGAGCGGGCUGG
rnacentral:rRNA from 1 species